CACCGCCCGUCACACCACGAAAGUCGUUUGCACCAGAAGUCGCUAAGCUAAUUCAUUUCGGUGAAAGGCAGGCGCCCAAGGUGUGGACGGUGAUUGGGGUG
rnacentral:rRNA from 1 species